CUACUAGACCUAUUCUCUCUACAAUUAAAUUCCCACUAAUUCUUCGUCGUACAUUUACCAUUGCUAAAUCAACUCCAAUUCUUUGGGAACAAUCCAACGGUCGCUUGAAAUGUCAUUUCACCCAAAUGUCGCAACCUGAGGGUGUCGUAUCGGCAUUGGUUCACAUUGUUGGUCGAUCAUCGUCGUACGCAGUUCUUUAGCAUCGUGGUGCGUUAUUUUGUGGCUAGUUGGACGCUGUCCCGAGGAAAGUCAAUGUCACGGCAGACAAAAAUACUGUUCGGCUGGCAUCGGCUGACGCCGCGCCGUUUGAAUUCUGAUCCGUGACCGAGAUUCUCGAUCAGUCGGCGUUUCGCGGAGCCACGUAGUUGUGGUGUUGUUGUUAUUGUUGUUCCUGCCUCGGGUGCGUCGCAUAGCGAGGGACGUGCCUUCCGCCAAAUGCCCUGUUUUACGUACUGCCUGUGGUGUUGCUGCCGUCCCCUAGAUCGAUACUUGUCGAGGCGUGGGGACAGGUUCGAUUACGUCGAGUAUAUACCUCUGUAUCAGGAGCAAAAGCUGGGCCAUUACGAGCGUGUCUGACUUUCAUCUGGCCGCUGUCCAAUUAGUUAAACGCGCCUAAGAAUAUUGGACUUUAAUGUACUUACGUGCUGACAAGAUGUUUAUGCACUAUGUAUCGUUCAUCAAAAACUUCAUGUAUCUUUACAGUUUUUCAAUAAUUUUUAUAGUUUCUGAAAUGCUUACAUUAAUGGAAGACAAACGAACUUAUCACUCAACCCAAUAUCGAUUACUCAAGACCUGUGACAAAACUAUCACUGAUAAUGUUAGUUGAAAUGUACAAGACGACCCAGAUAUAAUCUUUUACUAUUAUCCAUAACAACUCCCCCCACCAAAAAAAAGAAAAAGAAAGAAAACAGUUCACACGAUCAAUACCAAACAAAAUUUUAUCUGGAAUUUUAUAUGGAAAAUUUAUAAAAUACCAAAAGUGGUAGGAAAGAUACGCGUAAUAUGCAAAAAUAAACAAAAUAUCCAAAGUACAGCGCUCGUUAUGAUAAUUGAUAGGAAAAACAAAAUUCCGUUUAGGUUUCAUCAUUUUCGGUUAUAACCACAAAAAUUCGCAUAAAUAUUGUCUGAAUACUGUCUGAUUAUAAUAUUUAGCGAAUGAAACGAAUCGUUGCUUAAACUCUGUCUCUUUAAUCACGUUCGAAAAAACUUGAAUUUGCAUAAAGAAGCAGCUGCGAUAUUUAAAACGUAUUUAUUGAAAGAGACUCUGCAUCGAUGAACGUAAACAUUUCAUACUACGAAUAUCAGUAUCGACUAUUAAACCGAGCCCAUCCGCACUCUACGUGUUACGAAACCUCUCCGUUGCGAGCUUUCGGAAGAGACGAGUUCCAUGCAAACUCGUAAAUCCGGUGAAGCGCAGAAUUACAGGGCCUGCGUGUAAUCGCACAGCUGCCCACGCAGAAAUCGGGGCAUCAAACUGGGAUCGAGCCGGUCGGUCGAGGGCGAACUUCUCCCACGAAAUUGUUUCGCAACACCGGCGGUUCGCUCGACUUGAGAACUUUCACGGGACGUGGCUGAACUUUCUACGCCUUCUGCCGACGAUGUUAUCGGAUCUGAAGAUUUAUCAGAACGAACGGCCGCUCGAGCGUCACUUAAUGAGGUCGAGAUGAAUUAAGCUGAUGAUGCGGGCUUUUUCGGAAACAAUGGAGCGGUAACGCGAGUACUUUAGGUAAUAAGCCUCUCUGUUAGGGUUGGAGAAAGUCCGAAGAUGCGAACCUAGAGCAUUGUAUUGCCGGAGGGCCCUGUUCGAUUACGUUUUUUUAGCUACUUCGUUAGCUGUCGAAAGUUUUGGUAAAUGAAUUAUAUGUAUAACAGGUGACACGAAAGUUGUGAAUAUCUAGAAAGUUCACGCAUCGAUAUCCCGAAAUGAAAAAGCAAUCUCGCAACUUCUAGAUUCGAGUUGUAAUUUGUAUGGAUUUUGUAAUCGCAGGUAAUCGAUCAAGGCUGUACUGUAAUUUAGAACGCGGUAGAAUAUAGGUAUGUCUAUAAAAUAUAAAUACGCUAUAUACGGUAUGAAACAAGGAAUAAAUUAUUGACACGAAUUAUCGACAAGGCAAACAGUGCACGCAAAUACGAAAUAUGGAUGGAAAGUUACAGGUGCGUUUAAAGUACGAAAAAAGCUACUAACAAGAAUUGUAAAGAA